CCUACGGGUGGCAGCAGUAGGGAAUCUUUCACAAUGGGCGAAAGCCUGCUGGAGCAACGCCGCGUUCAGGAUGACGGCCUUCGGGUUGUAAACUGCUUUUAUAAGCGAGAAAUAUGAUGGUAACUUAUGAAUAAGGAUCGUCUAACUACUUGCCAGCAGCCGCUGUCAUACGUAGGAUCCGAGCAUUAUCCGGGGUGACUUGGUGUAAAGAGUUUCGUAUGUGGCAUCGUAAGUAUAUAGGGAAAUCUGUUGGGUCAAACAUUCGGACUAUUCGCUAAACUGGGAGGCUGGAGAAUGUUAGGGGCAAGUGGAAUGUGUGGUGUAGGAGUGAAAUGCGUAGAUAUCA
rnacentral:rRNA from 1 species